rnacentral:tRNA from 1 species
GGUGGGUUGGCCCAGUGGUUAGUGCGUAGGUCUCGUAACCGAAAGGUCGCGGGAUCGAAUCCCGCUAGAGGCUG